UGAAGAAGAAUUGGAGGUGAGACUUGAGAAAAUGGAGAAAAAGAUAUGCUUUGGAUUUUCUUGAAGACUAGAAGCUUUCUUAACCAUCCACCACCUUGUUGACUGGUUAUUAUUCUCUCUACCUUCUGUGAAACAAACUGAUGGAUACUAAUGGCACAAUUACACUUAUAGCUAGUCAGUUGCAUAGUUUAUGCACAUAGUUCUGCUUCCAGUGUUUAGUAAUGAGUUAAACAUUUUGGCUAUAUUUGUCUCUGAAGCUAUAAUUUCAAUUAAUCAUUAUGUAUAGCAAUAAUAACAAGUAAAACAAAAAGAAGAAUUUUUUGUUUCUAUGGUAAUUAUGUUGGGUGCUUUGGAUCCUCCCAAUAAAGUU
rnacentral:lncRNA from 10 species